rnacentral:rRNA from 1 species
UACGAAGGGGGCUAGCGUUGUUCGGAAUUACUGGGCGGAAAGCGUGCGCAGGCGGCUAUGCAAGACAGAUGUGAAAUCCCCGGGCUCAACCUGGGAACUGCAUUUGUGACUGCAUGGCUAGAGUACGGUAGAGGGGGAUGGAAUUCCGCGUGUAGCAGUGAAAUGCGUAGAUAUGCGGAGGAACACCGAUGGCGAAGGCAAUCCCCUGGACCUGUACUGACGCUCAUGCACGAAAGCGUGGGGAGCAAACAGG